AUACGGAGGAUCCGAGCGUUAUCCGGAUUUAUUGGGUUUAAAGGGUGCGCAGGCGGCCAUUUAAGUCAGCGGUUAAAUCGUGGGGCUCAACCCCAUUCUGCCGUUGAUACUGGGUGGCUUGAUUGCGGUCGAGGUUGGCGGAAUUCGUUGUGUAGCGGUGAAAUGCAUAGAUAUGACGAAGAACACCGAUUCCGUAGGCAGCUGACCAGACCGCAAAUGACGCUCAUGCACGAAAGUGCGGGGAUCGAACAGGAUUAGAUACCCUGGUAGUCCGCACAGUAAACGAUGAAUACUUGUUUUCGGCGAUAUAAUGUCGGAGGCAAAGCGAAAGCGAUAAGUAUUCCACCUGGGGAGUACGCCGGCAACGGUGAAACUUAAAGUAAUUGGCGGGU
rnacentral:rRNA from 1 species